rnacentral:rRNA from 1 species
UAGUGGAAGCGUCUGGAAAGGCGCGCGAUACAGGGUGACAGCCCCGUACACAAAAGCGCAUGUGCUGUGAGCUCGAUGAGUAGGGCGGGACACGUGGUAUCCUGUCUGAAUAUGGGGGGACCAUCCUCCAAGGCUAAAUACUCCUGACUGACCGAUAGUGAACCAGUACCGUGAGGGAAAGGCGAAAAGAACCCCGGCGAGGGGAGUGAAAAAGAACCUGAAACCGUGUACGUACAAGCAGUGGGAGC